AGCGAACGCUGGCGGCAGGCUUAACACAUGCAAGUCGAGCGGGCAUCCUUGUGGUGUCAGCGGCAGACGGGUGAGUAACGCGUGGGAACGUGCCCUUCGUUUCGGAAUAACUCAGGGAAACUUGAGCUAAUACCGGAUACGUGCGAGAGCAGAAAGGUUUAUCUGCCGAAGGAUCGGCCCGCGUCUGAUUAGCUAGUUGGUGAGGUUACGGCUCACCAAGGCGACGAUCAGUAGCUGGUCUGAGAGGAUGAUCAGCCACACUGGGACUGAGACACGGCCCAGACUCCUACGGGAGGCAGCAGUGGGGAAUAUUGGACAAUGGGGGCAACCCUGAUCCAGCCAUGCCGCGUGAGUGAUGACGGCCUUAGGGUUGUAAAGCUCUUUUCUCCGGGACGAUAAUGACGGUACCGGAGGAAUAAGCCCCGGCUAACUUCGUG
rnacentral:rRNA from 1 species